GGCUGUAUCUGGCAGGACAAGUGAAGAAAUCUGUCAAGCGGUGUGACGAACCAGCUCCUCUGAUUCAAACCCCCGCUCUGUCCCCAAAGUGUCUAACAAAUCGGGAAAAAAAAAAAAAAAAAAAGUAGUCUGGAUUUUGUCCGCUGCGUGAACGAGGGAUGGAGAACAAAUCGAGAGAGGUGAAUGAGCAAAGUGGGAGAUCCUGGGAGGAGCGACGCCGCCUCAGUCAUAUAAACCUAAAGGCCAAACUGAGACAAGAUGUGACAAGCUCCUGAACUCUUGCCAUUCAGCGCUUCACCCUCUCUCUUCUCUCUCUCUCUCUUUUUGCUUCCGCUCUCCUUUGGAGAAAAAAAAAAAAAAAAAAA